UUAUCGGAGAGUUUGAUCCUGGCUCAGGACGAACGCUGGCGGCGUGCCUAAUACAUGCAAGUCGAGCGGACAGAUGGGAGCUUGCUCCCUGAUGUUAGCGGCGGACGGGUGAGUAACACGUGGGUAACCUGCCUGUAAGACUGGGAUAACUCCGGGAAACCGGGGCUAAUACCGGAUGGUUGUUUGAACCGCAUGGUUCAAACAUAAAAGGUGGCUUCGGCUACCACUUACAGAUGGACCCGCGGCGCAUUAGCUAGUUGGUGAGGUAACGGCUCACCAAGGCAACGAUGCGUAGCCGACCUGAGAGGGUGAUCUACCACACUGGGACUGAGACACUACCCCAGACUCCUACGGGAGGCAGCAGUAGGGAAUCUUCCGCAAUGGACGAAAGUCUGACGGAGCAACGCCGCGUGAGUGAUGAAGGUUUUCGGAUCGUAAAGCUCUGUUGUUAGGGAAGAACAAGUACCGUUCGAAUAGGGCGGUACCUUGACGGUACCUAACCAGAAAGCCACGGCUAACUACGUGCCAGCAGCCGCGGUAAUACGUAGGUGGCAAGCGUUGUCCGGAAUUAUUGGGCGUAAAGGGCUCGCAGGCGGUUUCUUAAGUCUGAUGUGAAAGCCCCCGGCUCAACCGGGGAGGGUCAUUGGAAACUGGGGAACUUGAGUGCAGAAGAGGAGAGUGGAAUUCCACGUGUAGCGGUGAAAUGCGUAGAGAUGUGGAGGAACACCAGUGGCGAAGGCGACUCUCUGGUCUGUAACUGACGCUGAGGAGCGAAAGCGUGGGGAGCGAACAGGAUUAGAUACCCUGGUAGUCCACGCCGUAAACGAUGAGUGCUAAGUGUUAGGGGGUUUCCGCCCCUUAGUGCUGCAGCUAACGCAUUAAGCACUCCGCCUGGGGAGUACGGUCGCAAGACUGAAACUCAAAGGAAUUGACGGGGGCCGCACAAGCGGUGGAGCAUGUGGUUUAAUUCGAAGCAACGCGAAGAACCUUACCAGGUCUUGACAUCCUCUGACAAUCCUAGAGAUAGGACGUCCCCUUCGGGGGCAGAGUGACAGGUGGUGCAUGGUUGUCGUCAGCUCGUGUCGUGAGAUGUUGGGUUAAGUCCCGCAACGAGCGCAACCCUUGAUCUUAGUUGCCAGCAUUCAGUUGGGCACUCUAAGGUGACUGCCGGUGACAAACCGGAGGAAGGUGGGGAUGACGUCAAAUCAUCAUGCCCCUUAUGACCUGGGCUACACACGUGCUACAAUGGACAGAACAAAGGGCAGCGAAACCGCGAGGUUAAGCCAAUCCCACAAAUCUGUUCUCAGUUCGGAUCGCAGUCUGCAACUCGACUGCGUGAAGCUGGAAUCGCUAGUAAUCGCGGAUCAGCAUGCCGCGGUGAAUACGUUCCCGGCCUUGUACACACCGCCCGUCACACCACGAGAGUUUGUAACACCCGAAGUCGGUGAGGUAACCUUUUAGGAGCCAGCCGCCGAAGGUGGGACAGAUGAUUGGGGUGAAGUCGUAACAAGGUAGCCGUAUCGGAAGGUGCGGCUGGAUCACCUCCUUU
rnacentral:rRNA from 1 species